CGUGCAGACCCUCCCAGGCGGGGCUAGGGUCCGUGGUGGAAUCUUCGGUGAGGGGCUGCCUAACCUGAGAGCUCCGGGGUCCCACUUGCUGAGAGUCCUGCCUUUGGUGAGAAAGCCUUGGGAGCUCGCAGAUGGCACCGUUCUGGAAAUCCAAAAGGCGGCAGCAGUGGCAGCAAUGGGACAGCACUGAGUCCUAA
rnacentral:lncRNA from 1 species